GGCCCUUGGCUCAGUUGGUUAGGCGUUGUUCUAAUAACAAGUUAGCACAUUGAACUUAUGCAAGGGUCAAGAGUUCGAAUCUCCCAGUGGUCA